rnacentral:tRNA from 1 species
GGGGAUUUAGCUCAGCAGUAGAGCGCUUGCCUCAAGCACAAGGUCCUGUGUUCAGUCCCCA